GGGACAGGGCUGUGUCUAUCAGCUUUUACUCCCAAAACGUUUUUCUUUAAUUUAUCCUUAACAGAAUUCGCAAAUACAUUUAUAGAAUCAAGUGGCAAAGAACAUAUUUAAAAAGUGAUCAAAACACUCUAUCUGUUACAAGAAUAAGCCAAAAAGUAAGCCAGAAAUAGCAGGUUCUGGCAAUGUCACAUAGGCAAAGAAAGACCUUGUCUGAUAGAUGGAUGAUAAAAAUAUAUACAAUUUAUAGGUUAUUGUUUUGCUGGCAUUUAUUUACAGAAUUGUUUAUACAGAAAAAGUGUAAUAAUACCCUAGAGUUGAUAAUGUUCUAUAUAUUGAGUACAGAGUUGA